rnacentral:rRNA from 1 species
UACAGAGGUCUCAAGCGUUGUUCGGAUUCAUUGGGCGUAAAGGGUGCGUAGGCGGCAGCGCAAGUCAGGUGUGAAAUCCCGGGGCUCAACCCCGGAACUGCACUUGAUACUGCGUUGCUAGAGUACUGGAGAGGAGACUGGAAUUACGGUGUAGCAGUGAAAUGCGUAGAUAUCGUAAGGAAGACCAGUGGCGAAGGCGAGUCUCUGGACAGUUACUGACGCUGAGGCACGAAGGCCAGGGGAGCAAACGGG